CCUUGUCCUUAUACCCCAAGACACAUGACCAGUAACCCGAGAUCUGGGAAUUUUGCUGUUGAUUCAGCUCUUUUAAUCUAAUGGUUUAUUCUGCCUGCCUUGACUGUACUGUCCCCAGCUACUGGGACUAGCUCCUCCUAUCCCUUGGGUACCAACAGCUGACAGUUAAGUAAGCUUGUGGCGGGUGAUUGAUCCAGAGGGCUUUUCUUCCCUUCAAGAGAGCAGACAGACUGACAGAGAACAGGGGUUUCCUGACUUGGUAGUGGCCAAGAUAAAUGUAGAGUCCAUCCAGACUGACUGCAAAUGAACCACUGAGUUCCUGGAUUACCUGUUGCUAAAGAGCAUCCAGUUCAACAGAUCUGGAACCAUCAAGUAGACAAAGCUGGUGAUCAAACUCUUUCUCAUGCUACUCACUUGAAUGAUGGCCCUAGUCAUGAGCCAAGGUUGCCGGCUCCAUUCUGGAUUGCUCUUCAUCAGGAUGGCAAACAGACACGGAUGUCUCAUUCAUAGCAAGCCAGCCAAAGGCAAAGUGGGUCCACUGGAAACCAUCAUUGGCUUCACAGUCUUUUCACUGGCUGUUCUUGGACCAGCUGGGUGGUUUCUGUCUCAUAUUGCAAGCUAUAGAAGGAGGUAGAAGAUAUUCUUCAGUUUCUGGAAGAUGUGGCUCAUCAGAUCAGCUAUCAACAAUCCCUGUCAACUAAAAAUAGAACAAACGCCUCCAGAUUUUAUCUCUGUUGCUGUGAUUUCUUUAUUUAUCAGCAACAAAGAGGAGUAAGAACUAUUAGAAGAAAAGAAAAAAUAUAUAUAGAUGUUAAGGAAUUACAUCAUGAGUCUAAAUACCCUAUGGUAUUAUCUUGAGGAUCAUAAUAGCUAAGAGUUAUUUCAGAGCAGAAGAAAAGUGCUGGAUUGAUCUUGUUGUUACUACAUGAAAUUUAAAAUUGUGCAGACAAAAAUAUUGGGUUUAUGAUGUCGAUCAUUUCUACACGUAUUCUCCCCUAUGAACCAUCAAGAUUACUAAGAUCGUCUGGAGGGGCCCUGCUCUCGGUCCCACCGGCCUCACAAGUGCGGCUGGUGGGGACGAGGGACAGGGCCUUCUUGGUGGUGGCCCCGCGACUCUGGAACUCUCUCCCGCCUGAUGUCAGAACCGCCCCAACAAUUCUGACAUUCAGGAAACAGGUGAAGUCGUGGUUGUGGCUUUCGAAGGCUUGCUUGGCUUUCGAAGAAUGAGACAACGUUCUGGAUGGAAGACGGUGUAUAUUCGAUUUUAGUACGACGACUGACCACUGUAGUUUUUAAAUUUAUGUGUUUUUCCAGUGUUUUAUUGUAAUUAUGUACUUUGAUAUUUUACCAAUUGUAUGUGUUUUUAUGGUUGGAAACCAGGCUGAGUCCCUCUAAGGAGUUGAGAAGCUCGGUAUAUAAAACUUUGAAAUAAAUAAAUAAAUAAAUAAAUAUAGCAGUUCUA